UGUGACCGUAUCUCCUAAACACUGCUCAUACUGUGACCGUGUCUCCUAAAUACUGCUUACACUGUGACCCUAUCGCCUAUACACUGCUUACACUGUGACCCUAUUGCCUAUACACUGCUUACACUGUGACCCAAUCGCCUAAACACUGCUCACACUGUGAAUGUUAUUUUUUCAAGUUAGUUUUAGUGUUUGCGGUUUCAUUGAUUUGUUAACCACUCUCCUCAAUCUUCUGUUCUGUGUUUUCUUACAUUUGUGGGAAGAACAAGGUGAUCCUCUCAAUUUUACACUCCUCUACUGAUGGUUCCAGUGCCAGAGACAAACCCACCACCAUUAACCUCGGCCUGCUCAAACAGGAGAGAUUACCUUCUUCUACAGAAAACUUCCAUAUGGCUGUUUCGGAACACAUGCUGCAGACAUGAUUUAACCUUCAUCUUCCAGUGAUUGAGAAUCGUGGACCGUCCAGGGAAAGAGACCAUUAUAUUAUUAAGAUACUACCUUCCUAAUGCCAUACAGACUUUUUUUACAUUUGAUUGAACUUUCUCCUUCUUGGAUACCACAGUGUAAUUUUUCUUAACCAGUUUCCAAAUUUGACUUUUAUAUUUUUU